AUUGAACGCUGGCGGCAGGCCUAACACAUGCAAGUCGAGCGGGGUUUUCGGACCUAGCGGCGGACGGGUGAGUAAUGCGUAUGAAGCUGCCCGAUAGAGGGGGAUACCAGUUGGAAACGACUGUUAAUACCGCAUAAUGUCUACGGACCAAAGUGUGGGACCUUCGGGCCACAUGCUAUCGGAUGCGCCUACGUGGGAUUAGCUAGUUGGUGAGGUAAUGGCUCACCAAGGCGACGAUCUCUAGCUGGUUUGAGAGGAUGAUCAGCCACACUGGAACUGAGACACGGUCCAGACUCCUACGGGAGGCAGCAGUGGGGAAUAUUGGACAAUGGGCGCAAGCCUGAUCCAGCCAUGCCGCGUGUGUGAAGAAGGCCUUCGGGUUGUAAAACACUUUCAGCGAGGAGGAAGGGUGGUGUGUUAAUAGCACAUCAUUUUGACGUUACUCGCAGAAGAAGCACCGGCUAACUCUGUGCCAGCCGCCGCAGUAAUAC
rnacentral:rRNA from 1 species